rnacentral:rRNA from 1 species
UACGGAGGGCGCAAGCGUUGUUCGGAAUUACUGGGCGUAAAGCGCGCGUAGGCGGCCAGGUAAGUCGGAUGUGAAAGCCCGGGGCCCAACCCCGGAACUGCACCCGAUACUGCCUGGCUGGAGUCCCGGAGAGGAUGGCGGAAUUUCCGGUGUAGAGGUGAAAUUCGUAGAUAUCGGAAGGAACACCAGUGGCGAAGGCGGCCAUCUGGACGGUGACUGACGCUGAGGCGCGAAAGCGUGGGGAGCAAACAGG